GCAAAUCUUUGAUGGUGUGGAGCAAGUUGGCAAUAUAGUACAUAUUUUGAAGACAACUGGACAUCAUGCUUUCCCAGUAGUCGAUGAACCACCGUUUUCUGAUUCACCAGUGCUGUUUGGCAUAGUUCUUCGGGCACAUCUUCUUGUUUUGCUGAAGAAGAAAAAUUUUCUGUCUUCUCGUGUGCGCACAGGCGUUGAUGCUUCGGUACAUUUUUCGACCUAUGAUUUUCUCAAACGUGGCUCGGGCAAAUGUGACAACAUUGAUGAUAUAGAACUGAGUGCUGAGGAGAUGGAAAUGUAUAUUGAU
rnacentral:misc_RNA from 1 species